CAUUGGUGAGAAUCCAAUGCCCCGAAAACCCAAGGUUUCCUCCGCAAGGUUCGUCCACGGAGGGUGAGUCAGGGCCUAAGAUCAGGCCGAAAGGCGUAGUCGAUGGACAACAGGUCAAUAUUCCUGUACUACCCCUUGUUGGUACGGAGGGACGGAGGAGGCUAGGUUAGCCGAAAGAUGGUUAUAGGUUUAAGGACACAAGGUGACCCUGCUUUUUCAGGGUAAGAAGGGGUAGAGAAAAUGCGACGGCG
rnacentral:ncRNA from 1 species